ACUUGGAGAUAGCUGGUUCUCUCCGAAAUAGCUUUAGGGCUAGCCUCAAGUGAUGAUUAUUGGAGGUAGAGCACUGUUUGGACGAGGGGCCCCUCUCGGGUUACCGAAUUCAGACAAACUCCGAAUGCCAAAUAAUUUAACUUGGGAGUCAGAAUGUGGGUGAUAAGGUCCAUAUUCGAAAGGGAAACAGCCCAGACCACCAGCUAAGGUCCCAAAAUAUAUGUUAAGUGGAAAAGGAUGUGGCGUUGCCCAGACAACUAGGAUGUUGGCUUAGAAGCAGCCAUCAUUUAAAGAGUGCGUAAUAGCUCACUAGUCGAGUGACACUGCGCCGAAAAUGUACCGGGGCUAAACAUAUUACCGAAGCUGUGGAUUGUCCUUUGGACAAUGGUAGGAGAGCGUUCUAAGGGCGUUGAAGCAUGAUCGCAAGGACAUGUGGAGCGCUUAGAAGUGAGAAUGCCGGUGUGAGUAGCGAAAGACGGGUGAGAAUCCCGUCCACCGAUUGACUAAGGUUUCCAGAGGAAGGCUCGUCCGCUCUGGGUUAGUCGGGUCCUAAGCUGAGGCCGACAGGCGUAGGCGAUGGAUAACAGGUUGAUAUUCCUGUACCACCAUUAUUCGUUUUAAGCGAUGGGGGGACGCAGUAGGAUAGGCGAAGCGUGCUGUUGGAG
rnacentral:rRNA from 1 species